GGACGUCAAGCUAGCUAUGAGUGUGCAGCUGGGAGAUCGCAGAGCCGGAAGCACAAAUUUGGGAGCCCCGGGCACAUGGAUCGGAUUUAGAGUCGGGAGCGGAUGAGGUUGUCCAGGGAGAGAGUGCGGUGGUGGGAAAGGCCGGGCAGCUCGCAGAGGGCGGGGAGCCGGCAAAGGACCCCAGGAAGGGCCCGCUGACGGAAGAGGCAGCGCAGGGAGAGGGUGGUGUUCCGGGAACGGAGAGAAGGAGGAGAGUUUCCGGGAAGAGUGUCGGUGUGCGCGAAAUGAGGAGCGAAGGAAGGGACAGGAGCUGCUGCUACAGGUGAUCCUGAUUUGAUAGGAAUGACCCAAUAAAAGAGGGUAGAGGCUGUCGGAGAGAACUGAGUGUAAGAAUGCGGCCGUGAGGAGGUGAAAGGUGGUGAGAUACAGAGUCCUAGCGGAUGCCGGAUGUCUGAUUUGGGCAGAGGUGUGUCUUCCAUCGUAACAGAAGGGAAGACAGAGAGCGAAGCCUUUUUCAACACGGCCAGGAAGGUGCUUGCCUCCCUCCGGUGACUUGGUGACUCCAUCGGGGACCGUCUGUGGACAAACCACUGUGCACCCACGGAUGCAGGCGAGGGUACGCAGGAGAGCAGGUGAGCAAGCAGGUAGGAGAGAAGAAAUGGCUGACUGAAAAGAGACAGGCAGGAGGAAGUGUAAGAAAGGGUGGAAGGCAGGUAUUACAAAUUAAAAUAGGCCAAUCCGGUUUUGCACAACUCUGGCGCUUUUUGGUAGCUACCUCAGCAGUUCAGAGAUUCGCCUCUCCCAACAACCUCACCACCAGGCUGUAGUGAAAACAACUAACACCAAACGUUGCUAUACCUACAGUUUCCCUAAACAAAACCUAGUAAACAACCCCCAAGCACUUCAUACAGUCUCCUCUAUGGGCUUGAAGGAGUCCCAGUUCUCUGUCCUUUGGGUGAAAGGUUUGCUCAGUUGAGAAAGUGCAAUGUUCCGGAAGUGAGAUUCUACUAUUACCCUCAUUGCUAGCCUCAGGCUACCAGAAACCCCCAGACUGGCAAGGCCAUUGAUCUGGGGAUAAAGUCUUACAAGCACCUGCUACUGGGCUGGCUGGAUUCUUCAGCCAGGAACAGGCGUGUCGGAGGGCUCUGUAGAAUAUUUUCAGUCCCACAUCUAAAUACCUUUAAUUUCUCCAAAGAAUUCAUUUCCACCGUUCAUCUGACAAAUGAACAAGCCACUGGUUGCUCUGAUAAUAACUCAUGUCUGAUAUUUGCUAUGCUAACUAGCAAAGUAUCUUGUAAUAACUGAGACAUUGUGACCUUUCCAGUAACAGUGCUAGCUAAUCACGCUUAGAGCAUUAAAUCCUGAUCAAAACACUAACUGUUCCUGUAUGUAAUUUCAACCAGUGCAUUCAAAUAUCACACCAUCUCUGCUGGAGUAUUUCAAAGCAAAUAACAGACAUAGGAGGCAAGGGCAAGAAAAGAACAAGAAGCCAUUGGCAAUCGGUGGCGACUAUCGUUAACCAUUCCUGCCCGUAUUCCUAAAUGUUACUUCCCUGGUCACUCCUCGGAUAUUUUUCAGAUCCGUUCAUUUCAGAUCCGUUGUUCAGGUAACAAUUAUUUAUGGACCUGUGUACCAGAUAUCUAUUUGACAUAUAUUAUCCUUCCGUUCUAAGGAGAAUUUAAUAUACUAAGAGAAUGUUAAAAAUUCACUGGCUGAAGUCUCUGAUGUUUGCAAAAACUAAACAUCUCACUGUGGUGUGGAGGUGUUAUAGCCCUCCAAGGCUCCAUUUUAUCCUCAAGGAGAAAGCAGCACUAGAAGAUUCUGUUUAUAAACCUUAAAAUACCAGUCGCUUUAUUUGUUCUUUCUAAGGGAAAGAAAAAAAAAAGAAACCCUUAAAGGUUAUAUAAACAUUUUACUAUAUUUUAUCUUCCUUUAAGAACCAAUGAUGAUUACAUCCUUGGGCUACAUUUACCUUAACU